AUGGAGAUGGAGCUAGACAAGGAGAUGGACAUGAAGAUGGAGGGGGAGGUAGAGAUGGAGAUGGAGAAAAACAAGGAGAUGGACAUGAAGAUGAAAAAGGAAAUGGAGGGGGGGGCUGCAGAGGGCUGCCCAGAGCAGAGAGCAGGGCUGAGGUGUGCUGAGUUCAAGGUGGGAGGGAGCCAGAAGGGGACAGGAGCUCAGGGAAGCAGCCGUCGGCUGACUGCUGGGAAGAGACUGAGCUUCCAGAACCUGGUGCUUACAGGACAGCUGACCAGGCAGAGCGAAGGGAGCAGGGAAGCUUCCAGAACUGGGAGCAACGGGGGAGGUCGGGGGGUCACAGAGUCCAGGAGCUCAUCCAGGAGGGCUCUGCUGGGAAGAGUAGGCCGAAGAGAGGAUGGGUGCUUCCGGGCUCUGGAAGCAAACCAGUCCUGGGUGGGGGAGGCCAGCAGAGGGGCCAAGCUGGACGGAUGGAGGGCAGAGUGGGCAGUAGGACCCCCAGGCGUUGGGCACCAGAGGCAGAACUGCCGCAGGAGAGCUGGGGCAGCUUCGACCACGGCCCCAUCAGUCUUCCCCCUGGCCCCCAGCUCUAGGGACACAUCUGGCUCCUCAGUGAACCUGGGCUGCCUGGUCAAGGGCUACUUCCCUGAGCCGGUGACCGUGACAUGGAACUCAGGAUCCCUGUCCAGUGGAGUCCGCACCUUCCCAGCUGUCCUGCAGUCAGGGCUCUACUCUGUCACCAGCAUGGUGACUGUGCCCACCAGCACCUGGCCCAGCCAGACCGUCACCUGCAAUGUAGCCCACCCGGCCAGCAGCACCAAGGUGGACAAGACCAUUGCUCCCUGUGGUCGUGAACCUACCCCAUGUCCACCAUGUCCACCUCCUGAAAUCCUGGGGGGACCAUCCGUCUUCAUCUUCCCCCCAAAGCCCAAGGACACGCUCAUGAUCUCCCUGACCCCCAAGGUCACAUGCGUGGUGGUAGAUGUGAGCCAGGAUGACCCCGAGGUCCAGUUCAGCUGGUAUGUAGACAACGUGGAGGUGAGCACAGCUGAGACGAAGCCACAGGAGAGGCAGUACAACAGCACAUUCCGCGUGGUCAGUGUCCUCCCCAUCAAGCACCAGGACUGGCUGAAUGGCAAGAAGUUCAAGUGCAAGGUCAACAACAAAGCCCUGCCAGCCCCCAUCGAGAGGACCAUCUCCAAAGUCGCAGGGCAACCCCGGGCGCCAGAGGUGUACGUCUUGCCCCCGGCCCAGGAGGAGCUGACCAAGAACACCGUCAGUCUGACCUGCUACAUCCAAGGCUUCUACCCUGCCGACAUCUCUGUGGAGUGGGAGAAACAGGGGCAGCCGGAGCAGGACUCCAAGACCACCGAGCCCGUCCUGGACUCCGACGGGACCUACUUCCUCUACAGCAAGCUCAGGGUGGACAGGAACAGAUGGCAGCAAGGAGACCUCUACACAUGCUCAGUGAUGCACGAGGCUCUGCACAACCACUUCACCCAGAAGACCCUGUCCCGGUCCCCGGGUAAAUGAGCCUGGCGAGUCCUCACCCCAGAGGACACUGUCACCUUCCCUCACCUGCCGCGUCAAUAAAGCACCCAGCCUGCCCUGGGACCCUGUGA